rnacentral:rRNA from 1 species
CAGUAGCCGCGGUAAUACGUAGGUGGCAAGCGUUGUCCGGAAUUAUUGGGCGUAAAGGGCUCGUAGGCGGUUUCUUAAGUCUGAUGUGAAAGCCCCCGGCUCAACCGGGGAGGGUCAUUGGAAACUGGGAAACUUGAGUGCAGAAGAGGAGAGUGGAAUUCCACGUGUAGCGGUGAAAUGCGUAGAGAUGUGGAGGAACACCAGUGGCGAAGGCGACUCUCUGGUCUGUAACUGACGCUGAGGAGCGAAAGCGUGGGGAGCGAACAGGAUUAGAUACCCCCGUAGUCCCUGUCUCUUAUAC